GUCUGGGUAUUCCAGUGGUGGCUGCUGGUUGGGACUGGGACCACCCUGCCCUCGACUCCAUUCUCUAAUUGAGACGGCGACACCUUGAGGAGCUCUCUUGGCAGAGAAGCACGAUGAGGAGGUGAAUUGAAGACUUUGACCAUCAAGCCAUGGAGCGAGAGUCCAUGCUGACAUGGAGGUCAUGGAGGAUGAGUCUAUGGCAGGACUCAUGGGAGACAGGAAAGCAAUGGGAAAACGCAGUGUGGAUUCUGUAUAGAAGACUUAGCUUAGCCCGUGAGCUCACCAAGGGCUCUCUGAAUUUUCAAUAGUUCCUUUGUGAAGGCAUCUGUUACUCACGUAAUUGAAAAGAUGUUUGUGCAGUGGCAUGCUUGAGAGUACAGUUAUUUAAUCUUAAUGAUAAAGCCCUGAGGACAGAAAAUCAUAAGUAGAAACCUCUUGUUAUUUAUCAAAAAGAAAAGGGGCUAAGACACCUAAUCUAUUCUCAAAUUUAAAUUCAUGCUUGAUGAAAACUAUCAAUAAAACAUUGGACCUGAAAAGUUUCUUAAAUACUAUAGCCAGGUUCAAAGGGGUGAGUUAGGGGGGAGGUAGGAAGAAAACGAAAAUGAGACAAUAAAGGAGCUUGACAAAGAAAAACUGCUGUUUGGCAAGCUUUUUUUUUUUUUUUUUUUGGGUCAAACAAAGAACUUGCUGUAGUUUACAGCAUGACACACACACUUGAUUAGUUUGUGCCUGAGGGUGUUUUUACACUCUAUAGUGUAAACUCCAACUUCUAUUAAUUACAACUUGCAUUUAGAGGCAAAUUUAAGAAUUUUUAAAUAGAGAUUUUUUUUCCAAGGCUGUUGUUUAUUUUUUUUUAAACAGAAACCAGUUUUUCUACUCCAGGGCCUGGCAAGGGCUUUGUUUUCCUUUUUAGAAGUUUUUUGAAAUACUCAGGCAUUGGAAAGGUAGCAGAGCACUUUAAGCACUCUGAGGGAUACAGAGGGAGGCUUUUGCUUAUGAAGUUAACUGACCGUCCUUUCGGGAGAAAUUCUGUAGGUCCCCAAGAACAAGCUUGGUGGGGUGUAGACAGAAGGGCUGUGGCUAUGCCUCAGCCUGUCUGAAUCUUGGUGCCUUGUUAGAUUUCCCUGACCGCUGGGUGUUGCUAAGAGCCAGAGGCCUUCUGUGGGUUUAGGAGAAAAGGUUGAGAGGGCAUGCGUGGCAGUAUUGAAGAGGUGUUGCUGUGCCCACUGGCCAGAGCCCCCAUCAUUGAGAUGAUGAUUAGAAAGGAGUUGCAAGUCCAUAGACUGCUCAACCCCACUAUGGGUGCCCAUGGGGGAAGAUGGAACAGGGUCUACCCUUUGGACCUCAGGGCAAGACAGUCAAUAGGCACUAUAAAGGUAAACUGUAAUACCUGCAUCGGUGUAUCCAAUUCAGAAAUUCAGCCUUAGUACUCACCUAAUAGCUUCUUCCAUCACCUCAUUCCUUACCUCUUAACACACAUUCCCUAGAGAAAACCAUCCUUUUUGUUCAAAUUUAAUUUAAUUCAUUCAAUCCCAAUUUCCUGAGUCCCUGAAAUGUUCAUGACACUCUCCUGGGUCCACUGGGGAGACUCCAGGAAACCAAUAGCCCAUGAUCCUUGCCCUCAAAAUUAGUAUCUUUAUCAGUCUCAAAUUCAACAGCUGAACAUUUUAGGCAAUGUAUGAUGAUCGAUCUCUAAAGUUAUAACCUAACUCUUUAAGACCCAGUCAAAAUUGUAGAUCCUCCUGAAGACUUUGCUCAUUCCAGCUUGAAAAUUCUCUCUAUUCUUUCUUUGAUCCCUAUUGAAUUUGUUAUUUGUAUCAAUUUCUUAUAGACCUGAAGUUUUUAUAACCUCAAAUAAUUUAACUCUCUUUCAGAUAUGUAUGGACUAUGAGUUGGAUUGUAUGAUGUUAGGUAAGCCAAGGAUCACAGCAACUUCCAGUUCUAAUGAGUCAGUGGUAAUGGCCUGCGCGUGCCAUACUGAGGAGAGUUCUGAAGCUGAACUUGGGCUUGUGGAAACCAGCAUCGUGUUUCCUUCGCGUUCUCUGGUAGCAUGGGCACUUCCUCAUUGUUUGCCAGCCUUAUUCCAAACUCUUUGGUUCAUACGUUUUCAUUAUCCCAGAGGGUGCUUUGCAAGUGGUAGACACUCAAAAAACACCCAUUGGCUCGUGAAGGCAGAAGCAAAGGAAAAACGGCAGUUGCUCAAAUGGCAAAUCUAUCGUACCUCAGAAAAAUAACCCAGCAACUAGGAGGGCUUCUUACCAAUUUCAAAUGUAAUCUUAGGUUAUGUUGAUAGACUGAUACUGCUACAUCCCAAGAAGUACUAUAUGCCACAUCUGGAAUCGCUCUGGGUAUUCUGAGUGACACAAAUUGGAGGCAUCUACAUGACAGCAGGCCAAGCUGGUGAAAAUCCAUAAAUCGUGCUCUGAGGCUUGGCUGAAUGGAAUAGGAGGACUUGAAGUGAGAAGGGAGCCAAACAUAUGGAGGCCCAUCACCAAGGAAAUGGCAUGCACAGAAAGUCAGCCUCCACAGGCAAGGGCAUUUGAGCAGAGACUGGAUUAGCCCAGUGCCAAAGUUGGUUCAGUCCUCACAGAACUUGACAGCCUAUAGGCUACUUUUGCCCAAAGGUGACUCGGGACACCUUCAAUGCAGAGAUGGAUGAGAAAGAAAGUGUUCUACUUAGAAAGGUCCCACCCAGCUGACAGUGGGCAUUUUUUCUUUGCAUUCCAACCUCUGGUAGCUUGACUAUAUAUCCUGAGCAAGAAGUGUCCAGAAUAAUCACACUUCAUGAGCUUUACUGAGUUUGAGACAUCCACGUAGCAACGGUCUCGCGAUGGGGAAACAUGAAUGCUUUUUAUAUUGGUGAUCAGCUGUAACAUGAGCAAUUAAGUACAGUACUAAUGGACUAUGGCCAGGAGCCUGGUACUAAUAUUAAAAACUGACAGAGAUGAAUAGGUUUGGAAGCAAAACCAGGCUGACAAAGACAUUUUUAUGAAGUGCCUGGACCUAUUUGAUUUAAACCAAUCAGAGGCAAGUUUGGACGAGUCAGGCCUUCAGCGACAAUGAUGCAUUCACAGGCAUUGUACCAUUUCUGUUAUGCCUUAAAUAAAAACACCCAUUGAUUCUUUUCAACAACCCACACUUUCAUUAUUACACUCAUUAAUAAACCAAAAGUGCUCAACUAAAUAUACAAGUAAUAUUUACUGAGGCCCCGGCUACUUUUUUCUUGUUGGAAAAUGAAAACAUUUACUGGAAACACGAACCGCACCACAUGAAAAAUAAAUCAAAGGAUAAUGCACAGAUCACUCAUUUCUUCUUCAUCUUCUAGGAAAGCAAAGCUGGCGAUAGGGAAGGGGGAAAGGGAUCAAGUCUGUACACCGGAGUGAAAAGAGUGAGACCAGAUGACUGGCUGCACAGGAGCAACCCAGUCAUUCUGAUCUGAUGGGGAAAGGUAUGAAAAAUGUCCAUGGGCAUCUCCGGACGAGAUGUCUGCCCGCAACAUCCUGAUAUUUGUCUUUCUUACUUCUUGAUCCUUCUUGAA